AAUGAACGUUGGCGGCAUGGAUUAGGCAUGCAAGUCGAGCGAGAAGGAAAUCAAAGUUUACUUUGGUUUCCGGAAAGCGGCGAAAGGGAGAGUAACGCGUAGUUAUCUACCCCAAGGCCCGGAAUAGCUGCGGGAAACUGCAGGUAAUGCCGGAUAAUAUCCCCGGAUCAAAGGUGUGAUUCCGCCUUGGGAGGAGACUGCGUUGUACUAGCUUGUUGGUAGGGUAAUGGCCUACCAAGGCUACGAUGCAUAGCGGGCGUGAGAGCGUGGCCCGUCUCACUGGGACUGAAACACUGCCCAGAGACCUACGGGUGGCUGCAGUCGAGAAUCGUCGGCAAUGGGCGAAAGCCUGACCGAGCGAUGCCGCGUGCGGGAUGAAGGCCCUCGGGUUGUAAACCGCUGUCGUAGGGGAGAAAGGACCGUUGAAGAGACGGUUUUGAUCUAUCCUAGGAGGAAGUCCGGGCUAAGUUCGUGCCAGCAGCCGCAGUAACAC
rnacentral:rRNA from 1 species